GGCAAACGGGUGAGUAUAAUGUGGGAAUCUGCCUUUUGGUACGGAAUAGCCUCGGGAAACUGGGAGUAAUACCGUAUGUGCCCUUCGGGGGAAAGAUUUAUCGCCAAAGGAUUGGCCCGCAUUUGAUUAGCUAGUUGGUGAGGUAAAAGCUUACCAAGGCGACAAUCAAUAGCUGAUUUGAGAGGAUGAUCAGCCACACUGGGACUGAGAUACGGCCCAGACUCC
rnacentral:rRNA from 1 species